rnacentral:rRNA from 1 species
UACGGGGGGGGCAAGCGUUGUUCGGAAUUAUUGGGCGUAAAGGGCGCGUAGGCGGUCUUCUAAGUCGGACGUGAAAUCCCUCGGCUUAACCGAGGAACUGCGUCCGAUACUGAAAGGCUUGAAUCCGGGAGAGGGAUGUGGAAUUCCAGGUGUAGCGGUGAAAUGCGUAGAUAUCUGGAGGAACACCGGUGGCGAAGGCGGCAUCCUGGACCGGUAUUGACGCUGAGGCGCGAAAGCUAGGGGAGCAAACGGG